rnacentral:rRNA from 1 species
GUACACUCCUGCGGGAGGCAGCAGUGGGGAAUUUUGGACAAUGGGCGAAAGCCUGAUCCAGCAAUGCCGCGUGAGUGAAGAAGGCCUUCGGGUUGUAAAGCUCUUUUGUCAGGGAAGAAACGGUGAGAGCUAAUAUCUCUUGCUAAUGACGGUACCUGAAGAAUAAGCACCGGCUAACUACGUGCCAGCAGCCGCGGUAAUACGUAGGGUGCAAGCGUUAAUCGGAAUUACUGGGCGUAAAGCGUGCGCAGGCGGUUUUGUAAGUCUGAUGUGAAAUCCCCGGGCUCAACCUGGGAAUUGCAUUGGAGACUGCAAGGCUAGAAUCUGGCAGAGGGGGGUAGAAUUCCACGUGUAGCAGUGAAAUGCGUAGAUAUGUGGAGGAACACCGAUGGCGAAGGCAGCCCCCUGGGUCAAGAUUGACGCUCAUGCACGAAAGCGUGGGGAGCAAACAGGAUUAGAAACCCCAGUAGUCCC